rnacentral:rRNA from 1 species
AUUGAACGCUGGCGGCAGGCCUAACACAUGCAAGUCGAACGAGUGGCGGACGGGUGAGUAAUGUCUGGGAAACUGCCCGAUGGAGGGGGAUAAGUACUGGAAACGGUAGCUAAUACCGCAUACCAUCGGAUGUGCCCAGAUGGGAUUAGCUAGUAGGUGGGGUAACGGCUCACCUAGGCGACGAUGCCUAGCUGGUCUGAGAGGAUGACCGGCCACACUGGAACUGAGACACGGUCCAGACUCCUACGGGAGGCAGCAGUGGGGAAUAUUGCGCAAUGGGCGAAAGCCUGAGACAGCCAUGCCGCGUGUAUGAAGAAGGCCUUCGGGUUGUAAAGUACUUUCAGCGAGGAGGCGUUACUCACAGAAGAAGCAACGGCUAACUCCGUGCCAGCAGCCGCGGUAAUAC